rnacentral:rRNA from 1 species
UACGGGAGGCAGCAGGGGGAAUAUUGCACAAUGGGCGAAAGCCUGAUGCAGCUAUGCCGCGUGUAUGAAGAAGGCCUUAGGGUUGUAAAGUACUUUCAUCGGGGAGGAAAAAACAAAACUAAUAAUUUUAUUUCUUGACGUUACCCGAAAAAGAAGCACCGGCUAACUCCGUGCCAGCAGCCGCGGUAAUACGGAGGGUGCUAGCGUUAAUCAGAAUUACUGGGCGUAAAGAGCACGUAGGUGGUUUUUUUAAAGUCAGAUGUGAAAUCCCUGGGCUUUAACCUGGAACUGCAUUUUGAAACUGAAAUACUAGAGUAUCGUAGAGGGAGGUAGAAUUCUAGGUGUAGCGGUGAAAUGCGUAGAUAUCUGGAGGAAUACCUGUGGCGAAAGCGGCCUCCUAAACGAAUACUGACACUGAGGGUGCGAAAGCGUGGGGAGCAAACAGGGAUAGAUACC